AUUUUGUUUUACUUUCCCAAAUUCCCUGAUCCUUGCUCUGACGACCUGAACAUUUUUCUCUCUUCCUCUGCAACCUAAGGAAGAAGAAAUGACAACAGAUGGACACUUUAUUGAAGUUGUAUUGAUGAGAAUGUCAUGCUCUUGUCACUGUUUGGUAUGAGUUUUGGUUGUGCAAUUGCAGAAAAAGCAAAUUUUAUUGCCUUUAUAUAUCACUAGUUAAUUUUGGUGGAAGAAUUGGAGAUGGUUUCUUGCUUGAUAUUAUAGGUUUGAAGGUCAUAGUUUCUUGAAUUAAGAAAUGUCAUCUGAUCAAGGUUUGGAUGUGAGAUGAUUGGGAUGAAAGUCCAAAAUUAGGCAUGCAUGUAAUGGAUCAUAUAGCUUCUAGAGAAUGUGAUCUGGAGUUUGACUUGGAAAGUGGUGAGACUGAAUCCAGCAGUGAAGAAGAUGGAAGUGAAGAGUCCGGUUCCCAUGGUAAACAUUUCAAUAAAUUAUUGAAUAGGGGAAGAAGUGGAUACUUGUGUAUUGAAGGAUCAAUAACAGCUAAUGAUGUUGUAGAAAGCAAUAAGGUAUCAAAUAUUGAUGAGACUAGGAAUGUGAUAGAAGGAGGAAUUGAGAAGAGAAUGGUGGAUAAACAGAAAAUGAAAGGCUCUGAGAAGCAUCCCAAGCCACCUAGGCCUCCUACUGGUCCAUCAUUACAUGCAGCCGAUAUAGAGUUGGUUAAAGAAAUUUCAAAGCAUACUAGGUUGCGGCGUGCAAGGAGAGAAAGACUGAAAGCAUUGAAGAAUAUGAAAACUGAUAGAAGUCAUAGAACAUCAUCAGCAAAUAUCAACUUUUUGGCAAUAAUCAUCACAGCUAUCUUCUUCUUUGUGAUAAUCUUCCAAGGAGUUUUGGGUGCUCGUGUAUGAUUCAAGUGUUCCCAUGAUUCCAUAGUUUUGGGAUGCAAGUUAAAGAGCUCAUCUGCGUGCAAGUGAACCUCUAGCCAGGCUGAUCCAUGUUUCCUAGGUAUGAAUAAGGGCAAAGUGCACAGAUACAAAACGAGCUCUUUUUUUAAAAUCAUAUAUAGUACUGCUGUUAUAUUCCAAGUUCAAUGUUGGAUUACCUCCAGUAUGUGCAAUGAGGCAUCCCAAGCCGUUAUAUUCAGUGUUCAAUGCUGGAUUGCCUCCAGUAUGUUCUCCUCGUCCUACUCGUACAUAUAUUUUUCUCUCUCUCAAAAAUAAAAAUAUUCAAUGUUGUUUUCACCAAGCCAGUAAGCAGGUUCAGCUUUUUUACUUUGUAAAAGCAUUCUGCACCCGGGUUCAUAAUCUACUCUUCCAAAUCGUAGUUGAAAGACAGCCUAGAGUUUUGUUGUUUAUGCUUCCUGCUCCAUCUUGCUUGGCUCCAUAUCAACUUUUACACCUGUAACAUCAUUGACUUGAUGAAUUAAAAGUACUUGUGCAUAUAUCAGCAAGGUUUAUUUCUAGUCUUGAUUUGAUCGAAUGUGUUAGGCAUGACAGGGGAGAGGGAUGCAGGGGGCCAGUGCCAACUGCCAAGUAAAUACACACAGCUGCUACUAACUCAGUAACUCAUAUGUCAUAUUGGUAAGAGAGUGUGGUAUAUGUGAAGGCUAUCUUACCAAUAUGUCAUAUAUAUGGCUUGGCUUCUUUAUUAUCUAAUUAUUUAUAUGUAUGCAGUUAGACAUACACGUACUUAUGUAGAAGUUUCAAUAGAAGUAUGGCAAUAGUACUCAAAGUACACUCUGAAACCCAAUAUAAAACUAUGUUUCAUAUGACCUCAACCUACAAACGAUACCAAUACCUUCUUUCUGUAGCCGGCAGCCCUAUCUUAUGAUCUCAGUUGCUGCAAAGCCUCCCCUUCAAAUUCGGUCAUUACUGUACACGGGAUGUGACGAGGAAAUUCUGGUGCUUCGUUGCAGUGCAUUGGAUCUGGUACGUGUCCCAUAUAAUUGAUCACGUUUAGUAAUUUUUCCUUAAAUUUCCAAAGAAUUAUCAUGUCUUAAUUUAAUUGACUCCAAUUUGGUUAGCGCAUUCUAGAGCAAGUUCCUAGGAGGUAUGUAUUGAUACAUUAAUGGUAGUCUAACUCUGUAAAUCAGUAGAGUAGCAUCACGCAGAGCUAAACAAUCUCAAAGUGGUUUAGUAGUACUGCUUGAAGCUAGUCUAAAAUUUAGAGCUGUGAAUACGUAGUGGCUUAAUAUCCCUACCAACUUCCCCUUCGAACUUAUAAUUAGUUUGAGCCUCUCAAGACUAAGUUUAUUCAGAAUCAUAGUAGCAAUUAGCAAAGAGACUCAACAUUCCAGGUAUUUUGAGUUCAUCAUUGAUUACAACAAACACAUUGAACGGAGGGCUGGGAA